UUCUUUUUCAGACUUAAGGAAGAACAUUUUGUGCUCAAAAGCUCAUCUAAAAUCUCUCAUACUAUGUAGUUGAUCCAAGAAAAGAUAUUACCCCACCCCUGCAAAACAGUCUUAUCAUUUGCAUAUUUCUUAGACCAAGGGGGUAAAAAAGGCAAGUUGUGGAGUCCUAUAACUCAUAGCUGCAUCACCCAGGCCACAGCACAGCCUGCUGAAGGAGAACAUCAGGAACCUGCAAUCCAUGGGACGUCCAACAGUACAGCACAGGUAAGCAAUAAGGGGCCCACUGGGCAUCAGAGCCGGGGGGC